rnacentral:rRNA from 1 species
UCCCCUCCCAACCAAACCCAAACCCCGGCACAGAAUGUGCCAAGGAACCAAAAUUAUUCCACUGCCCCCCCCGUUGGCACCGGAGACGGUGCCCUCGCGGGACGUGUGAUGCAUGAUAAUACAUAAACGACUCUCGGCAACGGAUAUCUAGGCUCUUGCAUCGAUGAAGAACGUAGCGAAAUGCGAUACUUGGUGUGAAUUGCAGAAUCCCGUGAACCAUCGAGUUUUUGAACGCAAGUUGCGCCCGAAGCCAUUAGGUUGAGGGCACGUCUGCCUGGGCGUCACAUAUCGUUGCCCUGUGCCCCAUGCCUAUUUUUGAUAGGCACCGUGCAGGGCGAAUGUUGGCUUCCCGUGAGCUCUUUUGUCUCACGGUUGGCUGAAAACUGAGUCCUUGGUAGGGUGUGUGCCAUGAUAGAUGGUGGUUGUGUGACCCACGAGACCGAUCAUGUGCAGCUCUACCAGAUUUGGCCUCUAUGACCCACUUGCNUCUUUGGAUGCUCNGAC